rnacentral:rRNA from 1 species
GACGAACGCUGGCGGCGUGCUUAACACAUGCAAGUCGAACGAUGAAGCUGGAGCUUGCUCCGGUGGAUUAGUGGCGAACGGGUGAGUAACACGUGAGCAAUCUGCCCUUGACUCUGGGAUAACUGCGGGAAACUGUAGCUAAUACCGGAUACGAGGCUCGAAGGCAUCUUCGGGUCUGGAAAGAAUUUCGGUCAAGGAUGAGCUCGCGGCCUAUCAGCUUGUUGGUGAGGUAAUGGCUCAUCAAGGCGACGACGGGUAGCCGGCCUGUGAGGGUGACCGGACACGCUGGGACUGAGACACGGGCCAGACGCCUACGGGAUGCAGCAGUUGGGGAUAUUGCACAAUAGGGGAAAGCCCGAUGCGGCAACGCCGCGUGAGAGAUGAAGGCCUUCGGUUUGUAAACCUCUUUUAGCAGGGAAGAAGCGAAAGUGACGGUACCUGCAGAAAAAGCACCGGCUAACUACGUGCCAGCAGCCGCAGUAA